AGGCUGGGCAUGGCUACGGUGGGCCUUCCUGCUGGGUUUGGGCUGCGCAUGUUGGCAGAAGGUGGACCUGCAUAGGGUGGACAUAAGGAGCACGUUCCAAAUGGCCUUGUUUGUGGUGGAGAAGUCGUCUUUUAAAAAUUAUUUUUUUAAUUAAUUUUUUUGAGUGUAUGUUUGUCAUGGCAUGUGUGUAGAAGUCAGAGGACACCACCUUGCAGAGUGGGUCUCUCUUUCUACCAUGUAGUUCCCAGAGAUUGUACUUAGGUCAUGAGAUUUGGCAACAGGCACCUUUAUCUGACAAUCUACCUUGCUGGCCCAAAAAUGGUCUGUAUUAAGCAAGGUGAUAGUUGACUGGAAUUUGGCAAAAAGACCAUCUUUCUUAACAGUCACAGGCAGCAACAGCCUGAGCGGGGCUGACAGACACUUAGAGUUGUGCAAUGAUUAUUCAGGAUCCCAGACUUUAAAAGGAAGAGCUCAGAUUCAUAUCCAGGCCUGAAUCCAACAAUUAGAAAAUAAAUAGACAAAUGAGUAGACUCUAGUUUACAAGCUCCAUGCACAUACCAGCUUUCUGUGGCCUCACAACUGCUAUGUGAAGACUAAUUCCCUGUCUCCCAGUGCAGGAGAGUGACCUGAGGGCUGGAAUAGUGUGGGGGCUUGUCCUAGUCUCGCCACGAGAGUGAUGCUCACCACCAGGGCAUACGUGCUCAGCACUGUCAUUACACCAGGAAAAUGGCUCUUGGUCUGGACUCGUAUUUGAAGGGCUCUUAUCUACUCUUUUACUAGGCAUCCUUCCCAGAGGUGAGGAAUAGAUUGAGCCAUGAAGACAAUUCUCAGUUUAUACACAAAUCCAAAGGUUCUCUGUGCAGACUGGCCUGAGCCUGGUUGUUCAGAAUGAUGUUCUCUUUUCUUGUUUUCUGAUGCCCAACACAGUGCUGUGUGCAUUUCUAGUCUGCAGAAGAGAUCAGAUGUGAGGGUCAGAGUGCCCCUGCACAUAAGUGCAUGUGAAUAUCCUUGCAGUGGAUGGAGCCUGAUAGACUAGUACUGACUUUCUCCAAACCUUGUAUCUUGAUGCAGAAUGCCAAGGAGUCACAAUUCUAGCCUGGCUUAACUAAUAAGUAUGAACCUGGUUUUCAUACUCCUUAUAGAUGAAUAUUUGUCCAUGUAGAAGGACAGAACAUGCUUAAUUUCAAAAUUCAUUGGCUCUAUUUCCAACUUUAAAUUCUUUUGAUGUAGCUUCAGUGGCCUUGCAAAUGUUGGGGAGGAGCCUGUACACAGCCAUGCUCUUUGCAAGUAGGGAGAAGAGCCAAAGACUUAAGAUAUGUACAGGUGAGUAGCUGAAAUAAAGAAAGGCUUGAAAAAACAGUGGGACAUCAAAUGGGAGAAAGGAAUAGAUAUUUGGGAAAGGAAUGCAUAUAAGAGAAGCAGAGAAGCUGAUAAAGGAUGUUAUGGUAGAUGAACGUGGUGUAGAUUCCUAGUGUCCCAUGAAGAGGUGCCAUGUUUCUUCCUCUACUUGAAUCUGGGCUGAGACUGUGGCUAGCUUUGAUCAAUAAAUCAAAAUAAUACUAUAGUUCCUUUUCUGAGGCUUAGGAAAUCUGAAGCUUCUGUUUCCACCUCUUAGAAGGUCAGGAGUCAGUUGCUACAUGAGAAGUCUAACGUACUUAUGACUACCAUGCUGUGAGGUAGCCCAGGCUAACUAAAGAGAGGCAAAGCCACAUGGCAGGGACUGAGGCACCAGAUGCAUAAGAAAAGCUUUCAUGGCCAUUGUUUCCCAGACCUUUAAACAGGUGAACACAGCAUGGUGGAUGAUCUCAGCUGACACAGAACAGAAGAACACCCUGCCUGAUCCUGUAGUUCAUGAGCAGGUAAGAUGGUCCCUGUUUGAAGCCACUGAGUUUUGAGACAGUUUUUAAGGAAGUAACAGCUAACUAAAACAGACACUGAGAUCUGAGAAGAAUGAAUGAGCUGGAGUAAAGGAGGAUGUUAAAGGGACACAUUUUAAGAAGGUCAUAAAGAACAUAUUGAGAGCUAGGGUGGCUUGACACUGGACAGAACAAAGGAAAAGGGGAUCAUCUGUCCCCACAUAUCUUGGGGAUGUGAUGAGUUCUCAUCUAUCUCAAUGGGCUUUGGCAUCAACCUUUGUAGAGGCAGCAGCUGCAGAGACUCUCUCUUUAGUGUCCCUGCACAUCCAGACACCUCCCUACACUGUCACAGCUGUGUCCACCUCAGUGAAGGAAAAUGGACAGAGAUUCUCUUCCCACCAGCUGGCCCCUUUCCUACCUGACUUUGCAAGCAGACAAUACUCCUGUCUGAGGCUGGGUUAGCUCUGUGAGAUCUUGGACCUGUGGUGGAGAGUCAUGGAAGAGAUAAAGCUACAUUGCUGAAGAACUGGCCAGAGCUUGACACCUGAGCCCUGGAGCAGGCUCAUAAAAAUGCAAGAAAUUUUCUGUUCAAGCUCCAUACUCUGGAAUGACCACCAUCAUUAUCAGCUACCACUGACUGAGUACUAAAGUGCAAUAAACACUUUCAAUCUAUUAGCUCAUUAUCAUGGCCUCUGUGAAGAUCUUACAUCACCAUCUAUAGUUUAGAGAACAGAAUUUUGAGGUCAAAACAGAUGAUUUACCUGAGGCCAUGGUGCCAGUUAGUGACAGAGCUGAAACAUGAACCCAGGUCUGUCUACCUCCCCAAAGUGCUUCUAGGCCCAGCUACAUGGGGUUCCUGAUCUCAUUUCUGUCAUGGUGUCAGAGACUAGUUAAAUUCUACCAUUGCUGACUAGUGGAUACCUGACUAAGGCCUCUUCCCAAAAUGUUACUCUAUUAGUGUUUUGUUACUCUAUAAUGGUCUAAAGACUCACAUCAUUAGUCAGUGUAAACAUCUCUAAAUGCAUUAGUAGUCCUAAAUGAAAACAGAAGCAUCAAUCUAGUAAAGAAAUAAAACCCAGUAGAAUGGGGGCUACAGCUCAGUGCUUGCCUAGUGUGCACAUACACUGUGAGUUCUAGUCCUACCACCAGGAAAAGAGAAAGUCAUUCAGACUGUGUGCUGUGCUUGUGAAUAGACAUAAUAGCACCUCAGCCAUAUGACACAUCUAGUCUGCCUCCUCUCUGCUUGUCCACUUGGGCUCCUGUACCUGCUCCCAGGCCAGUUAGAACCAGUACUAGGCACCAGACUUGGAUGCUCAGCGAGGACAGGGUUUAGCAGAUAGAAGCUAAGUUUCCUUUUGAGGUUACCUCUCUCCUUACAACACUUGAUAGAGACCCUGAAGACAUGAGUGGGGACCUACUCAUCCUCUAGGACGCUUGCAGGAGCCUUUCCUGAUUCUUGAAGUUAGGGCUGUGUACAGGCCUUCCCUAGUGUCCUGUGUUCUUUGAGAGCAGAGGGAGUACAUCUGCUUUGCUUAGCACUAUAUCACUAAUCUGGGACAUGUUGGGAUGGAGUGGAUGCUCUAUAAAUUUGAGUUGAUCAAAGGGCAUUUUCAACAGUCCAUUGGCUUCUAACACAAAGCCUCUUAAGUGGCAUGAUGGAGAUGUAGUGAAAGCUAUGACCCCUUCUGCUGAUCACAGGGGGGGUCAAUGCAGGGUUAGGAUAACCAAGCCUUCAUUAGUACAGGCCUGCAUCUAUCUCCUUUAUUCCAUAAAGCAGCACCCAGGAUAAGCAAUUGCUUCUUGGUGAGACUGAGACCUCAUGCCUGGCUCAGGAGAAUCCACUGAACACUGGUGAGCCUACAUACAGAGCACUGUAUCUAGCGCUGGGCUGGGACCUGCCUUCAACAUAUCAAGAUUGAAGAUGGAAGUAGGGUUCAGAGCCUUCAGCCCAAGAAGUCAUCUCUGUUCUUACCAAAAGGACAAGUUCUAGGCCUUUAGUGUACACUUGAAACCUUGUAUGAACAAAGUUGAACAUCACACACUUAACCCUCAGGGUUGCCAGGACUGUCAUGACUCUAGUCAGCUAUAAAGGGCCUCUGGAGUACCCCGGUCUCCAGAGCAUUGGCAUUCCUAGACAUGGACUUGCAUUUCCUCUCAUUUGGCCCUACCAUUCUUAUAGGACAAUAAUUCACAAGGCCCAGGAGAGGUGCCCAUGCACCCACCUGGUGUCCAUGCCCUCUUCUCACGCAGUACUCUAAUAAUGAGGACUUCAGAAUUCCCUUUUACCACAACAUGAUGCCUGCAAGGUUUUUCCCUCAGGAGCAUCUUUCUGAGGUUACAUACUGAUUGGGGUGAACUGUGGACCAUGACUGAUUGAUUAUACAGAGUGAUGUGCCCACAUGCACACAUGCAAAGGUCCUUGCAGUACAAGACUGAACAGGAGGUGGUAUUCCAUUAGAGUCCUCACUGAUGAUCUGGCCCCAGUUCCUGCAGAUCUCAGGAGGCAGCCUGCCCAUGAGUCUGUCUAUGGGAGACACUGAAAGCAAGACUUAAUGAUGUCACUCUAUUGCACGGCCUGGCCAUCACUGGCACCAGUGUUCUCUACCUUUCAUGUACUCUAAGGAAGCUCUUGGAUUUGAGGCGAGGCCCAUACCACUGCUAGCUGGGGGAAGGAACAGAGGCCCUAGCAGUGUUCUUUGCUUUCAUGCAAAUGUGAACACCUACGCUCCAAAGAGCAGGGAGUGUGGAUUUGAAUGUACCGAUGUGUUUGGAUGAUUGCAAAGCAAGUAAAGUGAGCAUGCAAGGGGAGUGGAAGAAAAGAGAGUGACCACGUGAAAAGGAAUGUGUGAAUGAGGGGAAAGAAAAGAAGUCUGCAUAUGCAUGGAGCCGAGAAGGCAUCCAGGUCUACACCAAGUGCCUACCAUUGGUUCCUGAAACCAAGAGUGGCUAAGUGCCAGCGAAAGGACAGGGAAUGUAGAAGGAAGGAGGGUGCUUUCUAAUGUUUGUGCAUGUGUAUGAGAUCAGGGUGCAGUCCAAGGAAAGACCUAAAGAGAGUAAGAGAGCUGGUGUGUCUUUUAGUUGCCAGGGAGCUUGUAUGGUGGAUGAAGGCUGAUGGAGCUGCAGAGCCGAGCGAGCUGAGCAUGCAAGAGGAAGAAGACAUGCAGGUCUAUGCACCACAUGCAUGCAAUAUUCAUGGAGCAGCUGGAGUUACAGACGAUUUAUGGGUGCUGAGAAUUGAACCUGGACCCUCUGGAAGAACAGCCCAUGCUCUUACAAGGUGAGCCAUCUCUCCAGGCUUGAAAACCCACUCUUUUUUUUUUGGUUUUUCGAGACAGGGUUUCUCUGUGUAGCUUUGCGCCUUUCCUGGAACUCACUUGGUAGCCCAGGCUGGCCUCGAACUCACAGAGAUCCGCCUGGCUCUGCCUCCCAAGUGCUGGGAUUAAAGGCGUGCGCCACCACCGCCCGGCUGAAAACCCACUCUUAAUACAUAAUAUAGUGCUGUGGGGUAGGCACUCUCUCAGUUUGGUUUUCUAUUGGAUCUCCUGAACCUACAACAGUGUCAGUCACAUGUAGGUGCUCAGUUAAUGGUGAAUAAUGAAGACAUGGCCUAAUAAAUGGUGGGCAUGGAGGACACAGGAGUGAGACAGAGAGGGGCUUGCCUUAAAGAGCUCAUGGUCACAAAAUAAAUAAUUAUUGCAAUACCAUAUCUGCCUGGCAUCAUGGGUGUCUAGGGGGCAUAUAUCCUCUUGGCCCUUGGCAGACAGGGCUUUCCAGAAGAAGCAGGACACAGAGGGAGACAGGCACAGUGACAUUGCCCGGCUCUCUUUCUCCCUCUACAGACAACACUGACUCUAUGGAGACAAUGGAGGUAAGAACAGGGUGGUGGUGAGGACACUGGCUCAGGAGUGCCUGGACUGGGCCUUCCCUUGCCUAACAUCAUCCAGCUAAGGGAAUUUGGGAAGGAAGUCCAACUUCCCUGGGCCUUCGUCCUGUCAUCUGUAAGAUGGGGGCAGUAAAUGAUACCAACUUCCUGAGUAUUGCAUAAGGCAGGCAAUGUGCCAAGCUUCAAUGGAGAUGACUAAUCUCCUCUUCCAUUCGACAUUGUUUGCUGGCUCUGGGGGAGGAGAGUUAGAAUUAAACAUAUUGUGCUUCUUACUGUAACCUCUCUGCUGUGGCUUUGUCCCAUUUUCCAGAAGUGGCUCAGCUCAGAGCUUGUCUGUGAACCUUCACUAAGGUAGGGACUAUGUUCCAUCUACCACUAUAUCCCCAGCACCCAGUACAGUAUCUGAGACAUGGUUGGUACUCAAUAAAUGGACUUGCUGAACAAAUGAUUGGUUACAUUUAUUUACUUCCCCAGGACCUUUGUGAAGAUGAAUAUUCAUGUUGCUGUUAUUUCCCUUUUCAGAUGAUGGACUAGAGACAGGUCCAGCAAGGGUAAAUGACUCGCCCAUAAACACACAGCCUGGAAAUAGCACAGUCAGACUCAAAUGCCAAGCCCCGUGCUCUUUCCUCCACACCAUGCUCCUCCCUGGGUUCCUAUACAUUAUGUCCUACUUUCUGUGGAUAUUUUCUAGCCGGUGGGGCCAUCUCUGAUUGUAGAAUCAUCUCCAAAUUCUAUGACUCAUAUCUGAAUCACAGAAGCGUUUAAUAGUUGAAAGAGACUUUGAUGUCACUGAGACCCUCCCACCCACUGUGGAAAUUUCCUCUCCAUUGCUUCUCUUCCAAUACUUGAAUGCCUCCAGUGAUGGAACACUCAUUUCCCUCCUCUGGAAUCAUCAGUUCUAUGACUGGACCACUGUGAGAGUCAGAAAGAACAGAAAGAGCAGCUUGGAAUGGAAUGCUGUGGGCAACCCUCUCCUCCUCCACCUCUAUCGCCUGGACAACAUUUGCUAAAACUCUCCUGUGUCAACAGGCAGCAACUGCUGCUCUUAGAAGCAGAGAGCCUCAGAAAUGAUGGGUGCCUUCAGCCUGCAUUUGCCAAGCACCUCCUGUGAGCAAGAUCUAUGGCAGUCCUGAUAAUACAAUGCUGAUCAAGCCAGGACCCUUCUCAUCUGACCAAAAAGCUGGAGGUGCUAACAUGAUUGUGCCGUGGCAUCUCCUUUGACUGAUGUCUGUAUAUGGGGGAGAGUUCCACUCAAGUCUGUGGGAGGAGGAAGUGUCCUCCAAAAGGAAGGCAGGAGCUACUUCUCAAAGGAUGUUUCUAGUAGAUGAUGGGUUGCCAGAGUAAGGACUUGGGCAGUACAAGUGUUACACUUGGGGCACCACCUGGAAGUAGACUGGACAGAGGAAUGGGAAAGCAGGUGAGACUUAAGCUUUAGCAGAGGCACUAGAGCAAAACAUCUCCCAGAAGUCAUGAGCCCUGACUUUUGGGUGGGGUGGCCUUUUUGUACUUGGUUGUGUGGCUUCCCUGUACUGAGGGGUGGCACGAGCCUCCCAGUGCCAACAUGGGCUUGGGAGGUCUGCAGCAGGAGGGAGGUAGAGGUUAGCAGCACAGACGUAAGGAAGGGACAUUGGAUUCAGCAGGGGGCAUCUGGUCAUAAAGUCUGCAUAGCAUAAAAUCUACUUUUUAUUUAUUUACUUAUUUAUUGAGACAGUGUCGUAGUGCAGGCCAGGUUGGUUUUGAACUCCUAAUCUUCCUACCUCUGCUUCCUUAAUGCUGGGACUAUCAUGCCUGGAUGAAGCCUAUCACUGUGCACUGAAUACACUUAUGAUAUCCAGUACUACCAUUAUCUAGUUACAACAUGUUUUUACCUCCCCAAAGGAAACCCCAUAUACACCUAUUAAGGAGCCAUACUCCAUCUUCCAUCCUCCAAGCCCCUGGCAAUCUCUGAUUUUAUACCUGUUUCUAUGGCCAGUUCUGGAUAUUUCAUGGAAGUAGAAUCAUACAUGAAAACUUCUAUGUCUGGUUUCUUUCAUUUAGCGCAAUGUCUUCAGGGUUUAUUAAGCUGGUAACCAUUACCAGCCAGUACAUUAUUUUUUAUGGGUGAGUAAUUUCCCACUGUAUGGACAGACCACAUUGCAUUUGUCCACUCGUCAGCUGGUGAACUUGCAGAUUCGCUCUGCCUUUUGGUUUUUGUGAAUGGUGUUGCCAACUGCUAUUAUAAUUCCCAUAAGCUUAUGAUUUGGGGCCAUCCCUUCCCUGCCGUGGGCCCGAGUCCUCAUCUGUAAAUAAAGUAGUCACAUCCCAAGCUCCUUGCAGCAUGGAUAUCAUUGCCAUUAUGUUUAACUGUCCCUUUUUGUCUGUGGACAUAAUAUUACUCUAUAGUUACUGACUCAGCCUGGACCACCCACCCAACUUCUAGGAGCUCAUGGAUGGUGGUGCUACUACAAAUAGAUGCCAUGAGUUGGGGGAAUUCCAGCAGGGGCUUGUUCAAGGACAAUGGGGGGGGGGUACGUGGUGGGUACCACUUCUUUGCCUAGGAGUAGGUGAGUGGGUGCUAUUGGGGGCAUCGGGAACAGAUGCUAGCUUUGUGCAGUGUUGAUGAAGAGAAAGGUGACAGACUUGGUGUGGUAGGCAGAGGAGCCUGAGCUGGUGCUCAUCCUAGGAGGUAUGGGGGAGAUGGGAGGAGGAAGCUUAGCUGGGAGGGACUGUGAUUCCUGGGUAUGAAGCUGGGGCAAUCCAGAUAGACUCGCCCCCUACCAUGGACUUUCUGCCUGCAAUCAGCCCUCCCAGCAUGCCUCUCUGUCACCACAAAGCUCUCCUCAAGAUCACUUUCUCUCCAAGAUCCUAUCCCCUAUCUCUAUUUGCCAAACGGAACCUCUCUCACUUUCAUGCCUUGGUUCUCUCUGUUCCUCAACCUGCAAUGUUCUUUCCAACUUCUUCCACAUCCUACUCCUCCGUAUCUCUUCUCAGCCAUCACCUCUUUCAUGAAUCAUUUCCUAAUUUCAAGGGAAGAAUCAGUACCCCUCCCCCCCCAAGGCUCUCCAACACCUGGCUCACGUUUCUCCUGUUGCUUACUUUGUUCCAAUGCUUCUUAACUGUUGAUGCACCUGCCUCUCCCACCCACUUCAGUGAUGUGGGAGCAUCCUUCCCCCCCUAUCCCUGAUGCAUCCCAGGCAUCCAGUCCAACUCCUGAGCCUUUGAUGGACAUGUUAAAGGUCAAACAAAGGGUAGUGUCAAGUUCUCAGGGUUGGUGGCUUUGGGGUCUCUGAGAGGACAGACUGGAUUCAGCUAGAAGCUUCUCAGCAUAGAGAAGAUGGCCAGGUAGAACCCUAUCCAGGCUUGUUAUCAGCAAGUUUAGCAUGCAGAGGCAUGUGCUGGCUUGAUGGAAAAGAAAUGAUCAGGGUGAUCACAUCACGCAAAUGAGUCACUAGUCACAGAAUAUGCAGGUGGAAGGUUCAGUGCCCUCCAGGGACCACACACA